rnacentral:rRNA from 1 species
GGAAUAUUGCACAAUGGAGGGAACUCUGAUGCAGCGACGCCGCGUGAGUGAAGAAGUCAUUAGUGAUGUAAAGCUCUAUCAGUAGGGAAGAGAGAGGACGGUACCUAAGGAAGAAGCACCGGCUAAAUACGUGCCAGCAGCCGCGGUAAUACGUAUGGUGCAAGCGUUAUCCGGAAUUACUGGGUGUAAAGGGAGCGUAGGUGGCAAGGCAAGUCUGAUGUGAAACCCCAAGGCUUAACUAUGGGAAUGCAUUGGAAACUGUCUAGCUAGAGUGUAGGAGAGGUAAGCGGAAAUCCUAGUGUAGCGGUGAAGUGCGUAGAUAUUAGGAGGAACAUCGGUGGCGAAGGCGGCUUACUGGACGGUGACUGACGUUGAGGCUCGAAAGCGUGGGGAGCAAACA